CCUUGACUGUACCUUACAUGGCGCAAGAGAGGUGGUUGCUUUCAAAUGUUGAAAACUGAACCUCGGAUCAUAUUUUGGGUUAUACUCUGUGACAUUCCUUGACAAUCUACCCCAAGUAUAAUAGCCUUCCCUUCAUAAAACUGCAAGCCAUUGCCAUCGGAAAAAUUCGCUGAUUGUAUGAAUCCCAAUACGAUAUGCAAAUAGCUGCGUGUUUGUAUGGUCAUAACCUAUGACAGUCAUUCACACAUGCUGCACAUGCAUGUGUUCACAUUGCUCAAGUGCAUUAGUGAAAGUCGGGAAAGUUGACAUUACUCAACAAUUUAUUGAAACAACAUUAGUGUCAGAUGAUGCAAUGACACUUGAUAUAGAGAACAUAAUAUUACUGGAUUGGAAUAGUAAUUGAAUCAAAUCGGAAUGAUGGAGAGCUUAGACGAGUUAUGCUCGAAAGCUUUCAAACGAGCGGAUACAAACGUACAGGGAAAACUGAAAAAUACCUUUUUGACAAAUUAUCCUCAUUGUUUAGUACCUGGUUUAAAUUUGAAUAAAUCACCUACAAUCGAUUCUUGGCACGUUCAUAAUGUUAUGGGACUUUACCAAGAGUUUCCUUAUUAUUGCGAUUUACCAAAACCACUAUUGCCUCCUGUAAAAAUAACUAUGAAAGGUGAUCCAGCCCUCCAACUGAUAGAUGCUAAAGCACAUAUUGAAAAGGAUGUUAAAAGAAUUCUGCAUCAUUUUGGAAGACGCGAAAAUGAUUUUUCAAAGAUCCCCAGCAAAAAUGAAAUCAUAUGGAAAGCGGUCGAUGGUAACAUUCGAACUUCUGCUCCCAAAUAUGUGGCUGAUUUAGCUGCUUUGAUUGAGAUGGAUCCUGAUCCUUAUUUUGCAGGGAUGUACAAUUGGUAUUAUACCGGAGGAUCAUUAUCAAAUGUGUCGGUGGGUGGACAAUCUGUUCUAAUUUUCCCGUAUAUGGAUGAUUUAGUUGCUACUCACAUAAUACCAGUGAAAAAUUCACUGCACAAACCGAGUCUACGAACAGCUGCCACUUGUCAAUUGAAUGACUCAAUUUAUGAGAUAAGAACGAACUUAGAAAGAGAUAAUAGGCGAAUUUUAGCGAGAGCAAAAAACAAUUGUAUUAUUUAUUCACUCGCAGAAACCCACGGAAAAUUACGUUUAUUUCAGAUUGAAAAUAAAAAAUCAAGAUUACCCUAUGUCAGUGCUGAUCUCGAUCCAUUAAAUCACAACAGAUUUUGUUCGGUCGAUGUGGAACGAACUUUAACUCUAUGGGAUGUCUUAUCAGGUAAAAAAAUCGGAAGCAACCAUGUCGAAAUUACCAAACCCUUGGAAGAUAAGUGGGCUUGUGUCAAAAUUGGCAAAAAGGAUCCAAAUAGUAUUGUUUUUGUUGAUCGAUGUUGUCUCCAUUAUCUCGACGUAAGAGAAUCUUAUGAACGUCCAGUGCUGAGCCUGUGUCCCAGCCAACAUUUGGAGGCUUGUGAGAGUCUUUGCUCAGCGGUUCCAAGUAUUAACGAAGAUCACUAUUACAUGGCUUCGUAUCACAGUUUAUUGCUGUGUGAUCGACGUUCUCCGCAGCUCAGCGUACAGCAAAAAUGGACACACCAAUUCAAAAGUCCCCCUCUUUUUGCUGACGUACAUACAAGAAAUGAAAAAGAAGUGAUUAUUUUAUCCAAUCAAAUUGCCGGCGAAAUAACAAUUAUUCUGAACACGUGGGAUGGCAGAGACAGUUCGCAUUCUUUACAUUUGCCAUACACUCCACCAAGUGUCUUAAACACAUUGAGUGAAACUCAGAUGCAAGGAAAAUGUUUGGAUCCUUUGCUCAAAAAAAGAUUGGCACUGAGCACAUCCGGAAUUUGUACAAUUGCUGAUGAAAACGCUGGCACAUCGCUGUUUGUGAGAAAUUCGAUCGGCGACAUUUUUUAUCAAUGCAUUAAGGACGAAAUCGAAUUGGACCACUAUUCGAUGAUCAAUUGCGAAUCUACCUACGCUAUGGAAGCGUGGGAAAAACAACUCUUGCUGCAGGAACGUUUGAAAACUCCUCUGAUACUGACAGAUCGGACGAACAUGCAUCACCCCUUUGACAAUUUUAUGAACAAAACGGCGCGUAUAGAGCGAAACCUCGAGUCGGAUGACUUGUUAGAAACGAACCCAAAGUGGCAAGAAUCACUGGACAAGUUGAAAAAAUACGUUGACAUUUUGGCACCGGAGUUGCUGGCAGUGUGGGAUGUCACAGAAGCCAGCGUUCCAGAUUCACAAACGGUUAUUCCACAUGACAGAGUUUUGAAUUGGCUGGAAACGGCCAAUGAAACGACAUGCACCAUUGAAUCACAAGAGUAUCCCGAAUUCAUGCCAACGCCAAUAAAUACUCAAGAACUUUUCAGUGCUUCUCAACAACCAGAACCACAACCAGAAGUUAUUGACAUCAUAGAGGACGUUCCUACAGAAGCAUAUUUCCCACCGGUUGUAGUAAAAACUUCUAAGAAAGCACAGCCGAAAAAACGGAUGUAUGUGGCAGGUUUUUAGUUUUUCAGCCUGAGCCAACGAACUCCUAAAACUAUAAACGAAAUCCAGACUGUGGAUCGAUUUUGUCUGUACAUUGGUGUGCUAUAUGACUUCACCAUCGUUCACCUUACCAUCUACGUGCGAAGAAAGAUGGUGUCCACUUUGACGUCAAAACUUUGUUUCCUUCUCUUUGCGACUUCUGCGAUUCGUCUUCUUGCAUUUGUUGCUGAAAUGACAACAUCGAAUUAUUUUUAUAUUAACAUCGUUGAGCGGUUAUUCCAGACAUUAUUAUAAUUUAUUUAGAUCAAAUUGUUGGAUUGUACAGCUUUAUUUCAACGGACCUAUCUAUAAAAUACGACUGUUCAACAAAUUCAA
rnacentral:misc_RNA from 1 species